rnacentral:rRNA from 1 species
UGGCUCAGAACGAACGCUGGCGGCAUGCUUUACACAUGCAAGUCGAACGGGGCAAGGGGGCAACCUCUUGUUCAGUGGCGAACGGGUGAGUAAUGCAUCGGAACGUGUCCCGCAGUGGGGGAUAACUCGGCGAAAGCCGAGCUAAUACCGCAUAUGCUCUGCGGAGGAAAGCGGGGGAUCUCGAGAGGGACCUCGUGCUAUGGGAGCGGCCGAUGUCCGAUUAGCUAGUUGGUGGGGUAAUGGCCUACCAAGGCGACGGGCAGUAGCUGGUCUGAGAGGAUGAUCAGCCAC